CUUAACUGAGAAAUUAUUUUUAAUCUUUGUUUGGUUAGACGAGCCACUAUGAAUUAUUCGAGUUUUUAUGUACUGAAGCGGGCAGGCUGGUUAGCAAUGCACGCCGGUGGAAUCUGGAAUUUACUUGUGUUUAUAUAGCAUCUAGGCUGGUUUGCUUUUUUGUUUGGUUGUUUGGUUGGUUUGGGUUUUAAUUUCUCUGUGUUUUGAGGUGAAGUGGUGUGUAUGUCGCACAUUUAAAACUAAUUUCAAAGUAGUAUAACAUAACUGCAUUAAAAGUCUGCCCUAGUGAAAUGAACAAUGUCUGGAAGGGAGAAGGUAGGGGGGAAAAACACUUUUAUAUAGGCAGACUUUGCCCCCUUGAGUUGAUAUAACCAUUGCUCCGAAUGUGUUUCCAAGACACAGUGAUGUCCUUUCAACCCUGCUUUCACAUCACUGGCUCAAACAUAUUUUUUUUCAUUAAAAAAACUUGAGUCUAAAUGAUCACUUUGCCCAUCUAUUGGGAUUAACAGAUUUCUCCAGAGAGCGUUUAAGAUGUUUUAGUAUUUGUUUGUAGCUUUAAAUGAAAACAAAAACUAUAAACUACUCUCCCUAAUCAGGUUACAGCUCCUCCCCUUGAAUCCUAAGUAUAUUGUAAUGUGCUGAAAGAAGCCUUUAUUUGCAUGACUAACAGUAUUCCAGCAUCACCUUUUGCAUUAAAGUUUUGCUUAGCCCUAGGCAGAUUAUUCAACCGUGAAUUAACAAGAGGUGAAUUCUAAACUUGUUUUUACUUGAAAAUACAAUUUCGAAACUUAUUAGGAUUAGAGAGAAACGUGCCUGGAAUUUCUUGACCAUUUCAGAACUAAUUUUGACUUCCGAUUUCACUUUGUGUUGGCUGCAUUUUUCCCCCACCAUUUGAAGGUCAGGGCUAAUUGUAUGGAAAGCUCCUGAAUUUUUAGGGAAACUAUAAGCGUUUCCAAAUGGAAGCCACUUCGGGGAGAAAAAAAUCUCAUACCCUAAUAUAACUCAAGAAAAUGAUUGAUUAUUUUGAAAAGAAGCUGAAUGCAAAUAUAUUUAUAGAUCUUUUAUAGUCCUCAGAAAUCCUAUGUGUAUUUACUCAGCUUCCUUUCAGCACAAACAGUUGUUAGGGAAGAUACAAUAACUGAUACAGACCCGCAUAAUCACUUGAAAUGCUACAGUGAAAGAAAACAAAAAGAGUGCGUAGAAUAUUUUUCAUUACCGUUUAUGCUCAUAGUUAUUAAGCUGUCCUUUUCUUCUGUCUUGUUACCUGGAAGGCUUCCAAUCAUGACGCGCUUACUUUGCUGCUCUUUCACAGAGUAAAGUGCGCUAGAAUCUGUUUAGAUGCGUUUAGGAAUUGCCCCCAAAUAGUAAAAAUAAAUAAAUAAAUAAAAAUUAAAAAAUGAAUGUACGCACCUAUAUUUAAUACCCACCUGUCCCCUCUCUCUAUCCAAAUCCCUGAAAGAACAGUCCCCAGCUAGAGAAACAUAAUAUAUAUAAUUUUCAAGUGGGUUCAGUAUAUACACUAACACGUGCAUUCAGUUUUUAUUAAAAUAAAAAGUGCAUUUAAAUCUUUGCAUAAUUUGAAAUGUGCAUAAUUAUAUAGAUACACUUUAAUAUUAUGCAUACACCAGACAAUAAUAGUGUUCUGAUAAUGUGACAUAUAACGUGAAUCUAAUAUGCUACAAAUUAGUUUAGCUAAGUCGAUUGAAUAUUUAGAAACAUAGAUUUAAAAAUACAACGUGACAAAAGCUAGCUCUGAUUUGAAGAGAAGUGAAAAAGAGAAUCGUAUUAUAUUUCACGGGGGAAAUCAAAUAUAUUACUAGCCUUUCGUCUUUCCCUUGCAGUUUCAAAGAGCAGGUACAAUACUAAUAUGGGACAACAUACUCCAAAGUUAUUUGUAUCUUCUCAUGCAUCUGCUUUUGAAUUGAGUCUUUUAUGUAACUGUUUUCUUCGACAACUCCAAUGUAUUAGCAAGGAUCAGAUGCCCUUGCAGAGAAAAUCACAGGACCAAGGUGUUACUUGAGAUCAUUGCAAGGGCAGUUGACGGCAUUAUUUAUUAAUUUUAAAAAGUACAUUAUUUGUAUUUAUUUUUAACGAGCCUCGCUGUGACUCUGCUAUUUGUAGCAGAAUUAAAUACCUGGAAAGAUACAGCGAUGUGAAAGUUUCUUCACUUUAGAAUCCAGGAACUGCAUUUUUAGGCAUCAGCUCCCAGUAACAUUGUACCUGAAUUUGGCAAAUUUCUCUGGGUCUUAAUCUUUAUUUUCAUGCUCAACAUAAUAACAGUCUAUUCUGUCAUUUGUUUUCCUGGCAUACCACCUGAGACUUUUUUACCUUGUGUAUUUUCAUGGCCGUUUAUAAAACAGACAUAACGUCUAUUCUCUAUCUUUUCUUCCCUGAUCCACCAGCCUUCCCCCUAAAACGUCUGGGCGUGAUUUUCAAUUUAUUUCCUUUUUUAUUCCUUUUUUAAUUCCAGAAAGUUAAUGUCCAUCUUUUAAUGUCAGAAACGGUGCUGCGUGGUAGUUUGGAAUGAAUCCACGAAACCCAGCUAGUUUGCAUAAUAGGGCUGCAGGCCCAAAUACACAGAUUUGUAAAGCAUUUGUUGUCCCCAGUAUUUCUCUCAGGCAGGGUGUAUGUGUGUGUGAGGAAGUAUGCAAUGUAUUUGUGUUUAUUUGUAUUAUAUUAUGAAAAUGCGACAGCUAAUGAUAUUCCGUUUUAAACCUGGCCCCAUAAAAGAUAAACGAUGUUGUUUUAGGAUUUGCAUUAAAAACCUGAAUGGUUGAUUGAGGUGUAAAUCUAUGACAAUCUGUAUUUAAGCCUUCUCGCCCACUAAAUCCAUCUGCCUUGGUAAGAUAGGCCCUAUCGGAAACUCCAAACUGGAGGUGGGGGUUGGGGGAGGACUUACCUCUUCACUUCCUCUGGCCGAUCAUUAUCGACAAGCCCUCUCCAGUAUUAGUUUAUUAUCCAUGACAAGCUUCGUUGCUGAUUAAGACGGAAUUACUCGGAAGCUGAAGUGCAUUUGAUUAAUAUUUAAGCGAAAGCCAUAGGAUAGAAGACAGAUGGCACAGAACUCACCGGUCCAGAACCCGCCGGUGCUAUAGAAACUUUAAAUUCGUGGCACAGGGGGGACAGUUUCUUCCCCAGGAGAGACACGCGGAGCUCCUGCUAUCCAGCACUUGUGAUUUUGAUGAGUCAAAAGGGGAAGGGAAGUGAGCUUUGUAAAUAUAUAUUCAUAGAUUGAAAUCCUCUGUCUCACGGCUUGCAAAGAUUAUACACACGGGCUCUCUUGCAGUGCACAAUCUUUUUAAAAGCAUUAAAGUAGACACAAUGUUGCCGAUUAGUUGUGACACCAAUUUUAGAUGUUGUGACAGUCACAUUCACGCGUUAUUUGUGUGCGUCUGUGUCCACUCACAUAGAGACCUCGAUGUGAGCGCCACCUUUCCUAUAGUACCAUGAAAUAAAGUGUGCAAAUUCACUGGUGCGCGACUAUAAUGUGUGUGUGUGUGUCUGUGUGUGUGUGUGUGUGUCUGUCUGUCUGUCUGUCUCGUCUUUGUCUGAAAAGCCAAUCAAGCCACCUAGAAACCCUCCGUAUUUUAGCUACCUAAUGUCUGCCCGGGGCCUGUAACGUUGCUCCGUGUCCUUUGUGUGCAUGCGAUCCCACCGUUGACCGGGGUCCUUUCCUGGCUACCAUACGUUUUUGAGAAUCUAUAGAUCCCUCUCCCUGAUCAGUUACAGCUGGCGUUUAGAAGAAGCUGAAUCUGCUUGCCCGUUGCCCUUAAUCUUUAGCAUACCCAGAUGAGGUUAUAGCCCCGGCCCAAAGUGAAAAGAAUUGUGAACGUUGGUGCCCUGGUACUGCUCUGAUUUCUCCGGUUAGCUGAGCACAACUUUCUAUUCGUGUGUAUUCAUGCAGCCUCUCAUUGAGCUCCCUCCGCAUUGCACUGGCCCGGACGCGCAGUGCAGGCAAAGGCCAGACCAACGCUGCGCCUGGGAGCGCGCGCGCACACACACCCGGGCUUCCCAGCUCCGGAGCCCUGUUUGUCAAAGGACACGCGGCCUGGAGUGGGAAGCCCCUCGGCCCCUAGAAAGAUCCAUUAGAAAGAAGUUUGCAAAUGGUCUUUUGCUGAGCAGUUCUGAAGAAUGGAGGAAACUACACUGGAAGUCAAGAUUUACUAUAACCAUAUCCCGAUUUCGAUUGACUUGAAUUUCAGAGAUCGCUGCUAGAGAGGAUGGAAGGAAUAACUUUCACAUGAGGAAACAGCAGUACUUUCCUGAGCUAUUUUCCACACACGUCUUCUUUCUCUACUUAUUACAUAUAAUUGUCGUCUUCGAAGAUCUCCUGAGCCAAAGCCUGCAGAAUGCUUCUGGACGUUACAAAAAAGGAAUGCAUUUUGUUGUUGUUGGUUUUUUUUAAACAGUGUUAAAACUAGUUCUCUCUGACUCCGAACGUAAAAAUAAAUACAAAAUGCUUAAAAAUCAAGCGUGUUGCUACGUAAAAUCCCCAUUGCCUUUAUUCUGUACAGGUACACUGGGAGUAGCUGGUGCAGUGUGCAUGUGCGUUGUGGGUGUAUGUAUUGUGUUGGGGAACUGUUAGGCCUCAAGAUAGUGUCGUGCCACCUUAUCUGAAAACAAAAGGUUUUCCAGUUGCAAGAAUGAAAUCUCACUAGCUGGUUUUCUCGCCCUCUUGGUGGUAUCCUAUUUAAAACCCCCUUCUUGUUUAGUACUAAAUAUUUGUAAAGCAGACAAUUUAUGAGUUAACCUAAUUAACACAUCCAUACUGUAUAUUCCUGAACCAAAGAGUACGGAUAAUUUCUAAUGUGAUGGUUGCAUGUGAUAGUCAUUUCUGUGUUACAGGAGAUUACAGCAAUACUGGAGCACUUCCAGAUUGUAGAUGGUUUUAGAUGUUGAAUUUUCAGAUGAGUAUUUACCAUCAUAACUAAUUUAAGACCAUUAUUAAAUAGAAAUUCUCAGCAGGGCUCUUUAAUGAUGGAACACGUUACUAAUUACAGAGUUUACGCUCUGUUUUGGCUAAGCAGUCUAGAGGGAUGGGAUUGUGCUUUGCAUGCAAAGCCAAU